UAUAGUUGCGGCGUCGUCGGUUCCGUUACGGAAUCAAGAGGGAAUGCGGUAAGGUCCAUUAGAGGGUCCGAAGCCGUGGCUGCCCCCGCAACUGUAUGCGGCUAGUCCUCCCCAAAUGCCACUGAAGCUUGCUUCGGGAAGGCGGGGAAGGGUGCCAAUCCGCAAGCCAGGAGACCUGCCGGCGACAGGCACUUAUC
rnacentral:ncRNA from 2 species